rnacentral:rRNA from 1 species
AUUUGGAAAAACAGAUGCUAAUACCGGAUAAAAGCUACUUUCGCAUGAAAGAAGUUUUAAAAGGCGGCGUAAAGCUGUCGCUAAAAGGGAUGGACCUGCGAUGCAUUAGCUAGUUGGUAAGGUAACGGGCUUACCAAGGCGAUGAUGCAUAGCCCGAGUUGAGAGACUGAUCGGCCACAUUGGGGACUGAGACACGGGCCCAAACUCCUACGGGAGGCAGCAGUAGGGAAUCUUCCACAAUGGACGAAAGUCUGAUGGAGCAAACGCCGCGUGAGUGAAGAAGGUUUUCGGAUCGUAAAGCUCUGUUGUUGGUGAAGAAGGAUAGAGGUAGUAACUGGCCCUUUAUUUGACGGUAAUCAACCAGAAAGUCACGGGCUAACUACGUGCCAGCAGCCGCGGUAAAU